rnacentral:rRNA from 1 species
CCUACGGGAGGCAGCAGUAGGGAAUAUUGCUCAAUGGGGGAAACCCUGAAGCAGCAACGCCGCGUGGAGGAUGAAGGUUUUCGGAUUGUAAACUCCUUUUGUUAGAGAAGAGAAUGACGGUACCUAACGAAUAAUCACCGGCCAACUCCGUGCCAGCAGCCGCGGCACUACGGAGGGCGCAAGCUUUACCCGGAAGCACUGGGCGUAAAGGGGGCGUAGGCGGGAUAGCAAGUCAGAUGUGAAAUCCUCUGGCUUAACCGUAGAACUGCAUUUGAAACUGUUAGUCUAGAGUGUGGGAGAGGUAGGUGGAAUUCUUGGUGUAGAGGUGAAAUCCGUAGAGAUCAGGAGGAAUACUCAUUGCGAAGGCGACCUGCUAGAACAUAACUGACGCUGAUGUGCGAAAGCGUGGGGAGCAAACAGGAUUAGAUACCCUUGUAGUC